GCCGGGCCCAGUGGCGCAUGCCUGUAAUCCCAGCGGCUCAGGAGGCUGAGGCAGGAGGAUCCUGAGUUCAAAACCAACCUCAGCAAUUCAGCAGGGCCUUAAGCAACUCAGUGAGACCUGUCUCUA
rnacentral:sRNA from 1 species